rnacentral:rRNA from 1 species
UACGUAGGGGGCAAGCGUUGUCCGGAUUUAUUGGGCGUAAAGAGCGUGUAGGCGGUUUGGUAGGUCCGCUGUGAAAACUCGAGGCUCAACCUCGAGACGCCGGUGGAAACCAUCAGGCUAGAGUCCGGAAGAGGAGAGUGGAAUUCCUGGUGUAGCGGUGAAAUGCGCAGAUAUCAGGAAGAACACCCGUGGCUAAGGCGGCUCACUGGCUCGUAUCUGACACUCAAGCGCGACAGCGUGGGGAUCAAACAGG